rnacentral:tRNA from 16 species
UCCCCGGUCGUCUAACGGUAAGACUACGGACUCUGACUCCGUCUAUUGAGGUUCGAAUCCUUACCGGGGAACCA